rnacentral:rRNA from 1 species
UACGGGGGGGGCAAGGGGUGUUCGGAAUUACUGGGCGUAAAGGGCUCGUAGGCGGCCAACUAAGUCAGACGUGAAAUCCCUCGGCUUAACCGGGGAACGGCCUCUGAUACUGGCUGGCUGGAGUUCGGGAGAGGGAUGCGGAAUUCCAGGUGUAGCGGUGAAAUGCGUAGAUAUCUGGAGGAACACCGGUGGCGAAGGCGGCAUCCUGGACCGACACUGACGCUGAGGAGCGAAAGCCAGGGGAGCAAACGGG